GACGAACGCUGGCGGCGUGCUUAACACAUGCAAGUCGAACGGAAAGGCCCUGCUUUUGUGGGGUGCUCGAGUGGCGAACGGGUGAGUAACACGUGAGUAACCUGCCCUUGACUUUGGGAUAACUUCAGGAAACUGAGGCUAAUACCGGAUAGGAGCUCCUGCUGCAUGGUGGGGGUUGGAAAGUUUCGGCGGUUGGGGAUGGACUCGCGGCUUAUCAGCUUGUUGGUGGGGUAGUGGCUUACCAAGGCUUUGACGGGUAGCCGGCCUGAGAGGGUGACCGGCCACAUUGGGACUGAGAUACGGCCCAGACUCCUACGGGAGGCAGCAGUGGGGAAUAUUGCACAAUGGGCGGAAGCCUGAUGCGGCAACGCCGCGUGCGGGAUGACGGCCUUCGGGUUGUAAACCGCUUUCGCCUGUGACGAAGCGUGAGUGACGGUAAUGGGUAAAGAAGCACCGGCUAACUACGUG
rnacentral:rRNA from 1 species